AGGCUCACUGAAUUCCCAGAGCUUGCACCGCACCGAUUAAGGCUCAUUAUCACUAACGGACAUCUCUCUCUCAUUUUUUGUUUUCCUCAAACUUCCCUUGUGUUGACGAAGGUUAUUUCCUGCCUUUACCAAGUACUGUGGCACAGCAAGAAUGAUCUGCUAGAAAGUGGUCUUGUCUAUCAGCACUCAAGAGGGGCUAUUGGCUUGCCAUACAUUGAGCACUGCUCUGAAGAA